ACCUUCGAGGAGCGCUGCAACGGUUACAUCCGCCAGGCUCGAAGGCUAUACCAUCUUGCAUUAAACGGCGCUCACUCUCU
rnacentral:ncRNA from 2 species